CUCAGCUGAUAUCUGAAAAGGACCAUGUCUCCAUUGAAAACCUUUCUGAGGAAUCUCUCAUCUCCAGAGAAGAGCUGGUUUUUGAAGAGGAUGAUAUGACCAAAUCUACCAGGAGACCAAAGCGUCAAAGGCCCGAGCUGCUUCACCCCAUCCCCCAGGAGGACAGUAUCAGAAAUGCUGCCUCUCAGCCAGAAGAGACUACAGAACUCACUCCCAGGGCUGCAACCACCUCAGAGGGAAAACUGGCCAAGCUCGGCCAUAAAAUCGGGAAGAAUCUGGACAAAACUGUAAAAGAAACCAUGAGCUAUCUGAAAAACCUACUCCCUCAUGCCUAUGAAGUCAUAAGGCCCUAAUGAUAAUAAGGCCCAGUCCCGGCCAAAGCUGGUGUCUACAGCACCAAAACCCUCCUUGCCCCGACCACCAUCUCUCAGCUCCCCACGUCCCUUAUUAAAGCGUUGCAUCCCA